rnacentral:lncRNA from 1 species
AACCAGACUCCAAAACAAGCCAAUGCAUACAACAGAUGUACAAAUGUUUAGAGAUACUAAGUGAAUUACAGUAGAGGCUUCUUGUGUUCCAGAGCUGCAAGAGAGCACAGCCGUGAGGAAUCAUCAGCAGAUCAGAACUCAUUGCUCGCUUCAAAAUCCUUCAGGAGUAAAACAAAAACAAAAUCCAAAACUUACGGCAGACAAACUUUAGACGCUGGAUUUAGGGAUAUUUGCUUUGAUCACCUUGACAAAAGUUUGUACCUCUAGUAUGACAGAGGGCUGUUGGUGAUGGAGUAUCCAAAAACUGCAUGGGGCAUUUAAGCUUCUAUGAUCAGGUUGAAGCAGAUGAAUUCAGCCUGGUAGUUUUGAAAAGUGUCAUAAACACUGGGAACCUAGAAGAAGAGGCUUCCCUUCCUGUAUCCAUCAGAGAGAUGGAGUUAGCAGAAUGUGUUGGACCUACCCAAUGCUGGACCUGCAGUGAAAACCAUGUGAUGCUGGAGCAGCCACCUGUGUCAAGUAAUGAAGACAGCAUUAGAUGUGGCUGAACACACAGAGCACAGUAGGAGGAAAAAAAAGCCAGGGGUAGGGGUGUUAUAGGCAUUGUACAAUACACUAAAUAACACAAAUGAAAUUUUAGUAAAAGCUGGCAGUUUAGUAUUAGGCCGAGGUAAACACUGUGAGGAAGACUACAGUGUGCCUUGACCUAAUGACCUAUAGUAGUAGUAGGUAAGUAGUCCUUAUUGUUUUUGUUAAGAAUACAUUUUGGGUUAGUUGCUACUUGUCAAGACAGUAAACUCCUCUCUGUUUAAAAAAGAAAUGUCUUAAGAGUUUGUGCUUAGUGUUAGCAAAGACUAACCUUGAAUUAAGUGUGACCACCCGACAUACUGCUAAAUUUAGCAAUCAUUUUUAAUAUGGUUCAUUUAAAACUCUCCUAACUAGUAGUACUCCUCAAGUCACAUUCUAGCAUGCUGUAGUUUUCUGUUGCAGACACGGCUGUUAAAUGAGGUUGUGAACAAUAUCAGUUUUGUGUUACUUAUGUUCCCUAAUAUAUACCCCAGCAAACUGCAUGGGAUCCCUGCAGCACCAUUCAGUAUUCUCCUUUGAGAACCAGGAGCAGUGCAUCAGUUCAGCCAAGUUCAAUGCCUUCCUAACGCAGCUGCAAUGCUUUUCAAAUCCAAGAGCUCUGUGCAAGUGUGUGCUGUGCUAGGAAUGAGCUUGUGUGUCUCUGCCAUACUGCCGCAGUGCUCUUCAUGGACACAGCCUCGCUGAAUAGGAGGGGAUGACUCACCGCCAUGAAAUUAGUUGUGUGACUUCAUACAGUGAUAGAUCAAGGCAUCACCCUGAUUUUAAAGAGCACUGAUUUAGUCAUUUAGGUCAAGUUUAAUGUAAGGUAUUAAUAAUGCCAUAAA